GAUUAAGCUGUAACUUUUAACACAACUAAACUGUGCUGACAUCUAUCAUCAAAACAACAGCAGCUGCAGCAUCUCAUCUUUCAUCUUUGAUCAUUUUCAACAACAAAUUGUGUACCUUACUGAAUUUGUGAAAUAAUAUAAUAUAAUAUAAUAUAAUAUAAUAUAAUAUAAUAUAAUAUAAUAUAAUAUUUUUAAUAAUUCACAUGCAUAUCAUUUAUUUGGCAUUAUUUCAUCAGGUCUCACCUCAGAGUCUUGAGCUGACAGUUUGGAUCCUGUAGUAAAUCACUGAGCUGCUUCACUCCUGAUGGUCCAGGAUCAUUUCCUGUGAGAUCCAGCUCUAUCAGGUGUGAAGGGUUUGAUCUCAGAGCUGAAGACAGAGCUUUAUAACCUUCUUCACUGAUACUGCAGUCUGAAAGUCUAUUAGAAAAGAUGUUAUUCUUCAUUAUUACACGGAUUGUCACACAAGUACAUGUUCUAGAAUGAAGAAAAUAAAAAGAUGUACUGCGGAAAUUUUGACCUGAAUGGACUCUUUUCACAGUAAAGCUGGGUAAAGUUAUAUACUGGUGAACGUAAACUACUAUAAAUGCAAUUUUUCCAUUUUCAUUUUCCACAAUUAUAACCUACAGUUGCAAUCAAAAUUACUCAACCCUUCAGAGACUGCAGUACUUUACAAAUACAAACUUUUCUGAAGAUCCAGAAUAAAAUAAAAAUUGCAUCUAUAUCAGUUCACUAGUAUACUAAAAGUCAUUAUGUCAACAUAUAAUGUAAUAUAUUUAGUUAAGAUUUUAAUAACAGAGCUAUGUCAUAAUUAUUCAACCCCUAUUCAACAUUGCUGUUUUUAAGUCACAUCCCUGCAUGUGCUGAAGUAGCAAAAAUGGCAAAGUCAACAGAGAUCUCACAAAAGCUAUAGAGAAGCUAUAGAGAAUAAAUAAUUGUAUAUUACUUAAGAAAGUCUAAGGCUAUAUGAAGAUUUCCAAGACAUUGAAAGUUCCUAAAGACAGCUCUCAGCCUUAUUCCUUAGCUUAAAGUGUGUUGUACCAGAAAACCUUUGAGGGUGUUGAAGAAAAAGCACAAUAUCUUAAAAUGUUUAAUAAGAGCAACUGAGAAAAACUGACAAUGUACAGCCAAAGACUUACAAGAUGAGCCGAUGAAAGGAGUAAAACCAUUUCAAUGCAGUGUGUAAGAAGAACACUAGACAAGUAUGGCUUUCAUGUUGAGACAUCUUGCUGAAUACCACUCUUGAUCAAGAAGAACAAAAGGCAGACUUGAACUUGCUAAAAUUCAUUUGUGUAGACCUGUGGAGCUCUGGAAGAAUGUUUUAUGGAGUGAUGUGACCAAACUGGAACUUUUUGGACCCAUGGAUCAGCGGUAUGUCUGCUGCAAAGAGACAAAGCUCAUAAGCAGAAGAACACCAUCUCCAUCGUCAAACUUGGAGGUGGAUCAGUGCUGUUAUGGGGUUGCUUUACUGCAGCAGGAAGUGGAAAUCAUGACUGUAUGGCAUCAUGGAUUCUUUGAAGUAUCAGGCCAUUUUGACAAGAAUUGUGAUGCAUUUGGUGCAAAGACUGAAGCUGAUGAUCAAUGGACUUUCCUGCAGGACAGUCAUCCCAAAGCACACAUCCAAAUCUACUUCUGCUUGGUUCAGGGAUCAGUCAUAGAAUGUUCUUGAGUGGCCUGUUCAGUCUCCAGAUUUAAUUCUCAUUGAAAAUAUCUGGUUGAAUUUAAAGAAAGCAGUGGCAAUGUGAAAACCAAAGAUUAUCAGUGAUCUGGAAGCUUUUUCAGGCGAGGAAUGGACCAAGACUGUAGUAGAGAGGUGACAGAAGCUUCUAAACACUUAAAGGCAGCGUUUAUUGCUGAUUUUAAAGAAUAAAAGAUUCUGUGCAAAAUUUGACUUUUUUGGGGGUUGAAUAAUUUUGAACAUGAAUGUUAAGAACCAAUUUUGAAUUUCAUCAUAAUUCAUCAAUGUUACAUUCUCAGAAUAACUCAAAAGUGUAUUAACAAAUUUUCUCUAAUACUUUACUGAUGCCUUUGUUGAACUGGUUUCAUAAAAUGUUGUUCUCCGCAGCAAAAUGUCUUGCAGGUCAAGGGGGUUGAAUAAUUUUGAUUGCAACUGUAUUAUAACCUUCUUUAUGAUACUGCAGUCUGAAAGUCUACUGAAAGAUUAAAUCAAUACAUAAAAACAUUUAUUACACCAUUAGGAUAUUAACAUUUCCCAUCACCUUAAAAAAAAAAAAAAAUCAAUCUGUCAAUAUUUGAUAAAUAUAUCUACACCAACACACCAAUUUCACAUCACUGACCCAUUCCUUGUGACACAGCAUCAGUUUACAGACCUGCUGGAGCUUUACAUUGAUUCAUGUUUAGAUUAACCAAAUUCAGACCUGAGUAUCUGUAGUGUCUGUGAAUUUCUCAGCAGACUGGAGAUUUCUGUCACUCCAGAGUCUCCUAU
ensembl:lncRNA